CCUACGGGAGGCAGCAGUGAGGAAUAUUGGUCAAUGGACGAGACCCUGAACCAGCCAAGUAGCGUGAAGGAUGACUGCCCUAUGGGUUGUAAACUUCUUUUAUAUGGGAAUAAAAUGUUCCACGUGUGGGAUUUUGUAUGUAUCAUAUGAAUAAGGAUCGGCUAACUCUGUGCCAGCAGCCGCGGUAAUACGGAGGAUCCGAGCGUUAUCCGGAUUUAUUGGGUGUAAAGGGAGCGUAGGUGGAUUGUUAAGUCAGUUGUGAAAGUUUGCGGCUCAACCGUAAAAUUGCAGUUGAAACUGGCAGUCUUGAGUACAGUAGAGGUAGGUGGAAUUCGUGGUGUAGCGGUGAAAUGCUUAGAUAUCACGAAGAACUCCGAUUGCGAAGGCAGCUUACUGGACUGCAACUGACACUGAGGCUCGAAAGUGUGGGUAUCAAACAGGAUUAGAUACCCUGGUAGUC
rnacentral:rRNA from 1 species